AUGGAGGAAAGGAUGGAGGAAAGGAGGAAGAAUGGGAGGGAGGAAAGGAGGAAGGAAAGGAUGGAGGAAAGGAGGAAGGAAAGGAUGGAGGAAAGGAUGGAGGAAAGGAUGGAGGAAAGGAGGAAGGAAAGGAUGGAGGAAAGGAGGAAGAAUGGGAGGGAGGAAAGGAGGAAGGAAAGGAUGGAGGAAAGGAGGAAGGAAAGGAUGGAGGAAAGGAGGAAGAAUGGGAGGGAGGAAAGGAGGAAGGAAAGGAUGGAGGAAAGGAGGAAGGAAAGGAUGGAGGAAAGGAUGGAGGAAAGGAUGGAGGAAAGGAGGAAGGAAAGGAUGGAGGAUAGGCGGAAGGAAAGGAUGGAGGAAAGGAGGAAGAAUGGGAGGGAGGAAAGGAGGAAGGAAAGGAUGGAGGAAAGGAGGAAGGAAAGGAUGGAGGAAAGGAUGGAGGAAAGGAUGGAGGAAAGGAGGAAGGAAAGGAUGGAGGAAAGGAGGAAGAAUGGGAGGGAGGAAAGGAGGAAGGAAAGGAUGGAGGAAAGGAGGAAGGAAAGGAUGGAGGAAAGGAGGAAGGAAAGGAUGGAGGAAAGGAUGGAGGAAAGGAUGGAGGAAAGGAGGAAGGAAAGGAUGGAGGAUAGGCGGAAGGAAAGGAUGGAGGAUAGGAGGAAGGAUAGGAUGGAGGAUAGGAGGAAGGAAAGGAUGGAGGAAAGGAGGAAGGAAAGGUUGGAGGAAAGGAGGAAGGAAAGGAUGGAGGAAAGGAGGAAGGAAAGGAUGGAGGAAAGGAGGAAGGAAAGGAUGGAGGAAAGGAGGAAGGAAAGGAUGGAGGAAAGGAGGAAGGAAAGGAUGGAGGAAAGGAGGAAGGAAAGGAUGGAGGAAAGGAGGAAGGAUAGGAUGGAGGAAAGGAGGAAGGAAAGGAUGGAGGAAAGGAGGAAGGAAAGGAUGGAGGAAAGGAGGAAGGAAAGGAUGGAGGAUAGGAGGAAGGAAAGGAUGGAGGAAAGGAGGAAGGAAAGGAUGGAGGAAAGGAGGAAGAAUGGGAGGGAGGAAAGGAUGGAGGAUAGGAGGAAGGAAAGGAUGGAGGAAAGGAGGGAGGAAAGGAGGGAGGAAAGGAUGGGGGAAAGGAUGGAGGAAAGGAUGGAGGAAAGGAUGGAGGAUAGGAGGAAGGAAAGGAUGGAGGAAAAGAGGAAGGAAAGGAUGGAGGAAAGGAGGAAGGAAAGGAUGGAGGAAAAGAGGAAGGAAAGGAUGGAGGAAAGGAGGAAGGAAAGGAUGGAGGAUAGGAGGAAGGAAAGGAUGGAGGAAAGGAGGAAGAAUGGGAGGGAGGAAAGGAGGAAGGAAAGGAUGGAGGAAAGGAGGAAGGAAAGGAUGGAGGAAAGGAUGGAGGAAAGGAUGGAGGAAAGGAGGAAGGAAAGGAUGGAGGAAAGGAGGAAGAAUGGGAGGGAGGAAAGGAGGAAGGAAAGGAUGGAGGAAAGGAGGAAGGAAAGGAUGGAGGAAAGGAGGAAGAAUGGGAGGGAGGAAAGGAGGAAGGAAAGGAUGGAGGAAAGGAGGAAGGAAAGGAUGGAGGAAAGGAUGGAGGAAAGGAUGGAGGAAAGGAGGAAGGAAAGGAUGGAGGAUAGGCGGAAGGAAAGGAUGGAGGAAAGGAGGAAGAAUGGGAGGGAGGAAAGGAGGAAGGAAAGGAUGGAGGAAAGGAGGAAGGAAAGGAUGGAGGAAAGGAUGGAGGAAAGGAUGGAGGAAAGGAGGAAGGAAAGGAUGGAGGAAAGGAGGAAGAAUGGGAGGGAGGAAAGGAGGAAGGAAAGGAUGGAGGAAAGGAGGAAGGAAAGGAUGGAGGAAAGGAGGAAGGAAAGGAUGGAGGAAAGGAUGGAGGAAAGGAUGGAGGAAAGGAGGAAGGAAAGGAUGGAGGAUAGGCGGAAGGAAAGGAUGGAGGAUAGGAGGAAGGAUAGGAUGGAGGAUAGGAGGAAGGAAAGGAUGGAGGAAAGGAGGAAGGAAAGGUUGGAGGAAAGGAGGAAGGAAAGGAUGGAGGAAAGGAGGAAGGAAAGGAUGGAGGAAAGGAGGAAGGAAAGGAUGGAGGAAAGGAGGAAGGAAAGGAUGGAGGAAAGGAGGAAGGAAAGGAUGGAGGAAAGGAGGAAGGAAAGGAUGGAGGAAAGGAGGAAGGAUAGGAUGGAGGAAAGGAGGAAGGAAAGGAUGGAGGAAAGGAGGAAGGAAAGGAUGGAGGAAAGGAGGAAGGAAAGGAUGGAGGAUAGGAGGAAGGAAAGGAUGGAGGAAAGGAGGAAGGAAAGGAUGGAGGAAAGGAGGAAGAAUGGGAGGGAGGAAAGGAUGGAGGAUAGGAGGAAGGAAAGGAUGGAGGAAAGGAGGGAGGAAAGGAGGGAGGAAAGGAUGGGGGAAAGGAUGGAGGAAAGGAUGGAGGAAAGGAUGGAGGAUAGGAGGAAGGAAAGGAUGGAGGAAAAGAGGAAGGAAAGGAUGGAGGAAAGGAGGAAGGAAAGGAUGGAGGAAAAGAGGAAGGAAAGGAUGGAGGAAAGGAGGAAGGAAAGGAUGGAGGAUAGGAGGAAGGAAAGGAUGGAGGAAAGGAGGAAGGAAAGGAUGGAGGAAAGGAGGAAGAAUGGGAGGGAGGAAAGGAUGGAGGAUAGGAGGAAGGAAAGGAUGGAGGAAAGGAGGGAGGAAAGGAUGGGGAAAGGAUGGAGGAAAGGAUGGAGGAAAGGAGGGAGGAAAGGAUGGAGGAUAGGAUGGAGAAAAGGAGGAAGGAAAGGAGGGAGGAAAGGAGGAAGGAAAGGAGGGAGGAUAGGAGGGAGAAUAGGAUGGAGGAAAGGAGGGAGGAUAGGAGGGAGGAUAGGAUGGAGGAAAGGAGGAAGGAAAGGAGGGAGGAUAGGAGGGAGGAUAGGAUGGAGGAAAGGAGGAAGGAAAGGAGGGAGGAUAGGAGGAAGGAAAGGAGGGAGACUAGGCGGGAGGAUAGGAUGA
rnacentral:lncRNA from 1 species